CUUUUCCCAUGGAUGCCAGACAGUGGUGACAUGGCACAGAUACCUCAGGGCCUGCAAGAAAGAAGUGGCUGUGUGGAAAGCGGCUGGCUGACCUCAAGCUGGGGGUGUCAGAAGUGAUGGCUAUCCAUGACCCUAAAGGAACCCAUCGCUGUCCUCUCUCCCCCACAAGCACCCAGAGCGAUAUCCGAAAGAGGAACUAACCCCAGUGGGUUAAGUGUGCCUAUUAUCGAAGGGUUAGCAAAGGCUGUGCCAUUAAUGCAAAGCCCUACAUUGAAGGGUGUGGCUACUGCACCCACUCUUCUAGGGAUGCCCCACUGGUCAGGUCAGCUCCCAGUGUGGGAGGGGUGAUGUUCAGUGAUCACCCAGUGUGUAAAACAUCUGCAAGAGCUCUGCUUUAUUCUGUGUCUGGUUCCAGCUGGCUGUGCAGAACAAGAGCUGGUGGGAAGAUCUGAAUUGGCACUUGGCAGUGAGGAAUUGUGCUGAUUCAGCCUGCCGCCGCUGCCCAUGUUGUUGCAGGAUCAUGUUUUAAAGGCCCUGAUCCAAAGCAUUAACAUCAGUGGGCUUGGGAUCAG